rnacentral:lncRNA from 1 species
GAAACGAGCCACCAUAUGUACCAAUAAUACCACCACCAAAAAUCCCUUCUCCUAUUCGCACCCCUCCUAGUGUUCCAUACACUCCACCAAAAGCGCCUUCUCCUGGGAAUGAGCCUCCAUAUGUACCAAUUACACCACCAAAAACACCUUCUCCAAUUCACACUCCUCCAAAAACUCCUUCUCCUGGGAAUGAGCCGCCAUAUAUACCAAUUACACCACCAAAAACACCUCCAAUUCAAACACCUCCUAUUCACACCCCUCCUAGUGUUCCAUACACUCCACCAAAAGCUCCUUCUCCUAGGAAUGAGCCGCCAUAUGUACCAAUUACACCACCAAAAACACCUUCUCCAAUUCACACUCCACCAAAAACUCCUUCUCCUAUUCAUACCCCUCCUAGUGUUCCUUAUAGUCCCCCAAAAGCACCUUCUCCUGGGAACCAACCACCGUAUGUACCGAUUACACCACCAAAAACACCAUCUCCUAUUCACACUCCUCCUAGUGUUCCUUAUACUCCCCCAAAAGCACCUUCUCCUGGGAACCAACCACCGUACGUACCAAUUACACCACCAAAAACACCAUCUCCUAUUCACACUCCUCCUAGUGUUCCUUAUUCUCCUCCAAAAACACCUUCUCCUGGUAAUCAACCACCAUAUGUCCCAAUUACACCACCAAAAAGUCCUUCUC